rnacentral:misc_RNA from 1 species
UGCGGCUGGGUCCCCUCCUUUCUAAGGAUUUUUACAUGACGUACGUUUUGACACUUUGUUCAGUUUUGAGAGUUCAAUCUCUCAAUUAUAGAAAGCACACUACUUUCUUCUUAUUUAAUAAGAAGAAUUUUGGUUGCGAUUGUUCUUUGAAAACUAGAUAACAGUAAUUGCUGAGGAAAAGUGAAACUUUUCUUUAAUCAAAUCAAUAAAUAACACAACAUUAUGUUGUACCAUUUAUUCGCUAAUGGUUAAGUUAGAAAGGGCGCACGGUGAAUGCCUUGGCACUAGGAGCCGAUGAAGGACGGGACUAACACCGAUAUGCUUCGGGGAGCUGUAAGUGAGCUUUGAUCCGGAGAUUUCCGAAUGG